rnacentral:misc_RNA from 2 species
AAGUCAUAACAAGGUUUCCGUAGGUGAACCUGCGGAAGGAUCAUUAAUAAUGCCCUCUGGCUUCGGUCAGCUGGGUUCAAUGUGUGUCAUCUCUUCGGAGAUGGCCAUCCACACACACCGUGAACUGUGACUUCGGUCAUCACAAACUUUUAGUAAUGAAUGUAAAAAUCAUAACAAAAUAAAACUUUUAACAACGGAUCUCUUGGCUCUC